rnacentral:rRNA from 1 species
CCUACGGGAGGCUGCAGUGGGGAAUAUUGGGCAAUGGGCGCAAGCCUGACCCAGCAACGCCGCGUGAAGGAAGAAGGCGUUCAGGUUGGAAACUUCUUUUCUCAGGGACGAAGCAAGUGACGGUACCGGAGGACUAAGCGACGGCUAACUACGUGCCAGCAGCAGCGGUAAUACGUAGGUGGCAAGCGUUAUCCGGAUUUACUGGGUGUAAAGGGCGUGUAGGCGGGAAAGCAAGUCAGAUGUGAAAACCAUGGGCUCAACCUGUGGCGUGCAUUUGAAACUGUUGGUCUUGAGUACUGGAGAGGUAGACGGAAUUCCCAGUGUAGCGGUGAAAUGCGUAGAUAUUAGGAGGAACACCAGUGGCGAAGGCGGUCUGCCGGACAGCAACUGACGCUGAGGCGCGAAAGCGUGGGGAGCAAACAGGAUUAGAUACCCUUGUAGUC